UGAGGAAUAUUGGUCAAUGGGCGAGAGCCUGAACCAGCCAAGUAGCGUGCAGGAUGACGGCCCUUUGGGUUGUAAACUGCUUUUAUAUGGGAAUAAAGUGAGGGACGUGUCCCUUAUUGCAUGUACCAUACGAAUAAGGACCGGCUAAUUCCGUGCCAGCAGCCGCGGUAAUACGGAAGGUCCAGGCGUUAUCCGGAUUUAUUGGGUUUAAAGGGAGCGUAGGCUGUUUGUUAAGCGUGUUGUGAAAUGUAAGAGCUCAACUUUUAGAUUGCAGCGCGAACUGGCAGACUUGAGUGCGCACAACGUAGGCGGAAUUCAUGGUGUAGCGGUGAAAUGCUUAGAUAUCAUGACGAACUCCGAUUGCGAAGGCAGCUUACGGGAGCGCAACUGACGCUAAAGCUCGAAGGUGCGGGUAUCGAACAGG
rnacentral:rRNA from 1 species